AGGCAGCAGACAAGCUGCAAAGAGCUCCUUUUCUCCCGCCUCUCAGCUGAUCGGCGGGUGGGCGGGGCUUCCACGGAGGCCUCGUGUAGGCCUCUGUGAAGCCUGAACUCCAGUAGGGCCCAAGCCAGCCAGGAAGGAGGAGGCAGCCAGAGAGGCCUCCACUGUUCUCUGCAGCAGAAGACCCCCUGCUGCCAGUAACCAUCGGGUCCAGAGAACAAGUGGAAUGUGAAGAAAACAAAUGGAAAAAGAGAGAGAGAUGGCGAGAAAGGGGUGGGGGCUGCCUUGGUACUGCUGCCUCACAAGAAGGGGACAACGAUGGAAGGGAGCUAUCCCAACAGAACUCCUGCACAGUCCGGACUGAAAGUCCAGUGGGUGAGCAGCCGAAAUGACGAAGACCUGGUGCAACGAGGUCAGGUGCAUUGCUAUUUGUGCAUAUGCUGUCUUCACAAGACUAACCAAACAGAUUGAAAUUGUGCAUACUCCCAACAGGAAGAAAUUAUGUUGUAAUGAAGUCAAGAAAGAAAAAGAAAGAAAGAAAGAAAGAAAGAAAGAAAGAAAGAAAGAAAGAAAGAAAGAAAGAAAGAAAGAUCCAUCCCUAGGAAUCUAGCUCUGUCAUAUAUCAUUGGCUUAUGUGAGUCAGCAAGUAGAUAGUCUCUCUAUAAUGUAAAUGGUUUUCAAGACUUUCAGAGGAAAAUUGACAACUCAGUGCAUUUAUCUGUCCUAUUGCACUAUCCUAGACUUCCUUUAACACACAUGGUAGUUUUUGUAGAGGAAGAAUAGCAGUCAGUCCCCAAGUAGCAAAGCAAACUGGUUUGGUGAGAAAGCAGCAAAGCAAGAGGUCUUGAGACAUUUCUUUAGUAUUGAAGAACUACAAGGAGUUAUUUAAAGAAAAGGUUACAAUCAAAUGUGAAAAAGCCUGCAGCUUAAUUUCAGCUGUAGCUCAUGGCUGACGAGAGAAACCAAAACAAACAGCCAUCUCUGGAGAGACAAAAUGGAGACUAACACUGGAAGAACAAAGAGGGGAGGAGUCCAGCACUUUUAUCCAUGACCCGAAAAUCCCCCAGUGGUCACUAUGAGACAUUGCAGCUGAGUGCUGAUGCUGCCAGGGUCCUAGCUAAAACAGUUUUAAGAUCUCAUAUUAUAUUUUCUUUUGUAUUUUCUUUUCAAAAAGGGGAAAACAAAUAAGUACAGUAUGAGGGGAAAUUAACCAUAUUUGAAUACAGGCCUAAAGAGUAAUUUAUAUGAAGGCAUGAAAAAAAUUAUAAGCCCACUCUUUAAAAGAAGAAAUGCAGUUUUGUGGUGUGUUUUUUAAACUUCCCUUCACAGUAUGUUAUGUACUAUGCUGAAUUCACAGAAAGGGGGCCAUACCUGUGGUAAAUGAUUCAUUUUGUGCUGGGCAUAGGAAUGAGGUGUCCACCUCCCUCUUACGUCCAGCACAAAAUGAGAACACAAAGGACUUGGAAGGAGAAAUCACUCAGUAUUGAGGUUGAGGGGCUAGCCUCAACUCAAGGGAGGACUGGGGCCUUGUCUUUCACCUUGCACCAAGAAAUGUCAGCAAGGGAGUACUUCUUCAAACCUGCACCAGAACCCACACAAAGUAAAGCACUUACUCCACCCCUCUUUGUAGUUCAGUAUGUGUUGCAGAGGGCUCAGGGGAGGGGAGAGGUCUGUGACCAUCACAAAUAACAGCUGGCUUUUAAGUUCGGUGAAAUGUGUAGAUCCUUGCUCAGAAUUCAGUUCAAGAUCUCUGUUCUGAGUACUAAUGCUCUAUGAGUCACUGUCACAACCUGAGAUGUCCUUUUGUUCCAUGCACAAUCUCUUGCAGUAGCCACAUUCGGCUAGGCAAAUGAAGGUGUAAUUUGUUCACAAACAAGCCCAUGAUGUAGGAGAAGGAACUCUGAAGGUAGUUCUGGAACUAAUUACUAGAGAAAAGAAGAAUGACUCCUAACAAUAAGGUAUAUUUAGCAACACACAGUGGUAAUUACUUUCACUUUCAUGCUGUAUAAGAAGCUGCUUUAUGACAUCUCAGGUAUGUUGGAAGUCAGGGAUUUUCCCUGUGUCCGUUUCUUGGUUAGGUAAUUUACACCAGGCACCAGUAUCACACUUUCAAAUAGAGCUUUAUUGAAGUUUGCUAGCAAUCAAAGCUCACUGGGUGUGGCUGUGCGCUCUAGCAGUUUCUGCAUCUCUUUUAUAUUGAGAGAACAGUACGUUCCGCAUUUGCGCAUUGCAUACAAGCCAGUGCAUACCCCUUUAACUCAAAAGGUCCCAGAUGCUUUCAAGUGUGACUUCUCUCACCCACACAGACAUAAUCAAGCACCUUCAAGGCAAGGGACAGAAGGUACCAAAUUCGAAAAGCACCAUCUAUCUCAGCUAGCUUGCUGCUAUUCAAACUGAUUCUUUUCGCUGCUCAAGCACAUUUUCAAAUAUCUUCCCACAGGUAUUUUAUGGGGAAAUCAUCAAAGAAUCUUCUAGUUAUUCAUACUUCCAGUAAUUGUAAGCAGUUUUGCUAUUCAGGAAGUUUUUAUCUGCUUACUCUCUCAGAAUGCAGCCCUACGUGGUCCAGAGGAAACCUGAAAUGUUCACAAGUUUUGACAGGUAGAUCUAUUCACUGGUCCAUGACAGAGGACUAAAGAUAGUCACUACAGUAAUAUAGUGAAAAUCGCCAGUGAAGUAACAGUAAUACAAUGCAUCCUUAGUGAGAUCCCCAAGGAAGAUGUGCCUACAUGACAAUAUGGAUAUCACUUAUCAUGGAAAAAAACAUGGCCAAGAUCUCUUGGAUAUUUGCUUAGGUCAAACUGAUGUGGGAGAUGGUGAGGGUAUUGUACAGACACAUUAUCUGAAUUGUCUACAUACUUGCGUUUGAACAAUUAUAAUCCAGCCAGGAACAUACUACAUUAUAUAAUAAUCUAUUUUUUAUCUGCUGAAUGGAAAUAACUUAUGAAAGGUGUGGGAAUUUGCAGUCUCUGUUUGAGAGAUUUACACACUGAUGGUGGGGGAUGCUGGAGUAUUAAACAGACAAAAUGUUUAACUCUAUCUGCCUGCACUUGGCAUUGAAUAAGAUUAAUAGGCCUGUGUGAAGCUCCAGCCAAAGCUGAAUAGUACACACAGCUGUCCUAGCACCGCACAGGAGCAAUCAUUCCUACCACCCAGUGCUGUGCUUUUUCUAGCACCACUGGGGCUUCUUUAAGGGCAGUGUUCUAUUCUGUCUAGCAGUCCUUUAUAUUUUGUUAAUUAGAAGUUUGUCCCAGUGGGGAUCAUGUAGAGCAGGGUUUCUCAACGUGUGGGUCCCCAGAUGUUACUGGACUUCAGCUCCCAUAAUCCCCUGCCCCAGUGGCCUUUGGUUGGGAAUUAUGGGAGUUGAAGUCCAAUUACAUCUGGGGACCCACACGUUGAGAAUCCCUGAUGUAGAGAGAGAGGGGUGGGGCGGAGUCAGAAAAGGAAGGGAAGGAGAAGGAUAAAAAUGGAGUUGUUCCUGAAUAGUGUCUCACUUUUGAGUGAUUUUUAGGAGGGGGCUCUAAAGUGGGAGAAAUUGUUGUGGAGUUGGUUCUAACUCUAAAUUAGGGGAUGCGUCUUCAGUGAAGAACAAAGCAGUCCUAAAUCAUCAUAUCUUGUUACACUGCAGCAGUAGUAGCAAGGGUGGACAAGGACACCACUCCCACAGCAGUGCAUCAAGACAAGGAGUGUUGGCCUGGUUGCCUCAGCAAUAUAGGUGCAUUUACAUCAAUUUAGAGUAAGGUCAAUGCACUGAAUUGGCUUGCCCUCAAUGAUAUUCUUCUUCAUGAUUCCCACCGCACAUUAAGAUCAUCAAGAGAGGUCCAUCUCCAUACUUGGGAGUGGGCCUUCUCUGUAGUCGCUACUGGGCUGUGGAUUGCACUCACUAUAGACAUUUGUGGCUUAACAUCUUCAUCAGCCUUUAAAAGAGCUCUUAAGACACACUUUUAUAGCCACGCUUUUAGUAAUCUCUGAAUGUUUUAAAUUUUUAAUUGCUGUUUAAUAUUUUAUAAUUGCUGUAAUCUUUGAAUUAUUAUUUUUUAAAUAAUUGUUAUUUAACAGCUGGUUUUAUUCUGUUUCUAUUGUGUUUUAAAAUAAUAAUUGUUGUUUAAUAGUUGGUUUUAAUCAUGA